AUCCUCCUCACCUUGAGCUUCAGGGCUGUGCAGGACAGGAAUUACAGUACAUGGAGUAGUAGAACCUGACACCUGACAAAAGAGUGCAGUGCGUGGAGUGGCCUGCGGGGGUGGGGGGGAGGGCGGAGUCAGUGCGGUGACAUCAUGGGCCAAUGCUCCUAUCAGGAAGAAGAGAGCGUGGGAACUGCAGAAGGCUUACUACAGAGACCCCAGCCCCAGCGAGGAGAUGCUGCCAUGGGCUUCAGGCUCCUCUGCUGUGUGGCCUUUUGUCUCCUGGGAGCAGGCCCAGUGGAUUCUGGAGUCACACAAACCCCAAAGCACCUGCUCACAGCAAUUGGACAGCGAGUGGCGCUGACAUGCUCCCCUAGGUCUGGAGACCUCUCUGUGUACUGGUACCGACAGAGCCUGGACCAGAGCCUCCAGCUCCUCAUUCAGUACUAUAAUGAGAAUGAGAGAGAAAAAGGAAACAUUCCCGAACGAUUCUCAGGAAAACAGUUCCCUAAUAUGAGCUCUGAACUAAACCUGAGCUCUUUGGAGCUGGGGGACUCGGCUUUGUAUUUCUGUGCCAGCAGCGUAGCACAGCCCUGCGUGAGCAUCAGCCUUCUGUGCAAUAACAUUCCUGCCCGACUCAGGAAGUGACAGUGAGGGGAGUGUUGCCAGCCAGAGGGGCUCAGGCCCUGGAGAGUGGACAGGCCUUUCCCAGACACUCUCUGGAGCUUCUGUACAUGCCCUGGUUUAAUGCUCACUGAAACUGUGUAAGCUAAGUAUUAUUUUACCUGUUUAUGUAUCUGAGGGACAGCAGAUGUCCUGGGGCUCAUAUUUAAUAGCUAGCUGAAGUCUGCUCUUUCCACACCUCUGCACCGUCCCCUCACACUCCGUAGAUCUGUCCUUUGGCCUGGUGUACCCUUUUCAUGUCACCAUGAGCAGAAUAUGAAGGUCAUGCAUUAUACUGUGAGCAUUAUAACUUCUCCCCUGACAAGUACAAUGAACAUAUGAUUUCCAGGCAAAACGUAUCCAUUUAUUCUUUAUUGUGAUUUUAAAAAAGGGAGGGGGAGCAGUUUUCUGCACUGUAGCCAUCCUUUGGGCAAGGCUGUGUGAUCUCUUUUAUGGAUACUGCAUGAGGAGGGUGCUUUCCCAGGUCCACAACAAAAAGGAUGAAUGGUUUUUAUGGGAAUUGUAGUCUUCCUGUGCCUGAUGCAAUCUACCGUCAGGGAAAGUACAUGAAAAAUUGUUAUUCAUUAGUUAAUUUUUUUUUGAAACAGAGUCUC